rnacentral:rRNA from 1 species
GUAGGUGGCAAGCGUUGUCCGGAAUUAUUGGGCGUAAAGCGCGCGCAGGCGGUUCUUUAAGUCUGAUGUGAAAGCCCACGGCUCAACCGUGGAGGGUCAUUGGAAACUGGAGAACUUGAGUACAGAAGAGGAAAGCGGAAUUCCACGUGUAGCGGUGAAAUGCGUAGAGAUGUGGAGGAACACCAGUGGCGAAGGCGGCUUUCUGGUCUGUAACUGACGCUGAGGCGCGAAACGCGUGGGGGAGCAAACAGGAUUAGAUACCCUGGUAGUCCACGCCGUAAACGAUGAGUGCUAAGUGUUAGGGGGUUUUCCGCCCCGUUAGUGCUGCAGCUAACGCAUUAAGCACUCCGCCUGGGAGUACGGCCGCAAGGCUG